rnacentral:rRNA from 1 species
CCUGGUUGAUCUUGCCAGUAGUCAUAUGCUUGUCUCACAGAUUAAGCCAUGCAAGUGAAAGUACAUAUGUAAAUAAUAUAUUGAAACUGCGAACGGCUCAUUAAAACAGUUAUAAUCUACUUGAUGUUUUUAAUAUAAGGAUAACUACGGAAAAUCUGUAGCUAAUACUUGUGAAAAUACCUUUUGAUAUAUACAUAUGUAUGUAUCAUUAAGGUAUGUAUUUGUUAGAUAUAAGAAUAAAAUAAAUAUAAUUGAAUUAUAACAAAGAAGAAACACAUAAAAUAUGUGUAUUAUCAAUCGAGUAUCUGACCUAUCAGCUUUUGAUGUUAGGGUAUUGACCUAACAUGGCUAUGACGGGUAACGGGGAAUUAGAGUUCGAUUCCGGAGAGGGAGCCUGAGAAAUAGCUACCACAUCUAAGGAAGGCAGCAGGCGCGUAAAUUACCCAAUUCUAAAAAAGAGAGGUAGUGACAAGAAAUAACAAUACAAUAUCGAAAAAUGAUUUUGUAAUUGGAAUGAUAGGAAUUUACAAGGUUCCUAGAGAAACAAUUGGAGGGCAAGUCUGGUGCCAGCAGCCGCGGUAAUUCCAGCUCCAAUAGCAUAUAUUAAAAUUGUUGCAGUUAAAACGUUCGUAGUUGAAUAUUAAAGAAUCCGAUGUUUCAUUUAAACUGGUUUGGGAAAACCAAAUAUAUUAUAUAUUUUGCUUUGUUCAAAAUAAGGUUUUCUAAUAAAUUAUGUUUUUAUCAGAUAUGACAGAAUCUUUUUUAAAAUCUCUUCAAUAUGCUUUUAUUGCUUUUGAGAGGUUUUGUUACUUUGAGUAAAAUUAAGUGUUCAUAACAGACGGGUAGUCAUGAUUGAGUUCAUUGUGUUUGAAUACUACAGCAUGGAAUAACAAAUAUGAAUAAGCUAAUUAUUUUUUUUUUUCAUAAUUUUUUUUGAUAUUCUUAUUAGCUUAGUUACGAUUAAUAGGAGUAGCUUUGGGGGCAUUCGUAUUCAGAUGUCAGAGGUGAAAUUCUAAGAUUUUCUGGAGACGGACUACUGCGAAAGCAUUUGCCUAAUCUAUUUCCAUUAAUCAAGAACGAAAGUUAAGGGAGUGAAGACGAUCAGAUACCGUCGUAAUCUUAACCAUAAACUAUACCGACUAGGUGUUGGAUGAAUAUAAAAAAUAUAUAAAUAUGUAGCAUUUCUUAGGGAAUGUUGAUUUUAUAUUAGAAUUGCUUCCUUCAGUACCUUAUGAGAAAUCAAAGUCUUUGGGUUCUGGGGCGAGUAUUCGCGCAAGCGAGAAAGUUAAAAGAAUUGACGGAAGGGCACCACCAGGCGUGGAGCUUGCGGCUUAAUUUGACUCAACACGGGAAAACUCACUAGUUUAAGACAAGAGUAGGAUUGACA